rnacentral:lncRNA from 1 species
UCUGUGUGACACAGGGCAGUGUCAGUGUGACACGGGGCAGUGUCAGUGUGACACACACGUGUCCCCACAGUGUCGUCGGUCUGCAGCAGCGCCCCCGGGUCGGGGCCCAGCUCCCCCAACAGCUCCCACGGUGCCCACAACGGCCUGGCCGCCUCCGUCCCCAACAUCCACAGCGAGCUCCUGCCCCAGCCCCAUGGCCUGGCCCUGGACGGGGCCCAGCUCAGCCUCUACACGUCCCCGUCGCUGCCCAACCUGUCCCUGGGGCUGCAGGCCACCGUCACCGUCACCAGCGCCCACCUCCCCGUGUCCCCCAAGCUGUCGCCGCAGGCGGAGGGCGAGCGGCCGGGGGUGCCCCCGGGGGUGUCCCCGCUGCGCCCCGGGGCCGCCCUCACCGGGAAGUUCCUGAGCACGUCGUCGAUCCCGGGGUGUCUCCUGGGGGUGGCCCUGGACGGGGACGCCCCGGCCGGGUCCCCGUCCCUGCUGCAGCACGUGCUGCUGCUGGAGCAGGCGCGGCAGCAGAGCACCCUCAUCGCCGUGCCCCUGCACGGGCAGUCCCCGCUGGUGACCGGGGAGCGCGGGGGGGGUCCCCGCGGGAGCAAGCUGCCGCGCCACCGGCCCCUCAGCCGCACCCAGUCGUCCCCGCUGCCCCAGAGCCCCCAGGCGCUGCCCCACGGCCCCCUCCAGCACCACUUCCUGGACAAGCAGCAGCUCAAGGUGGGCUGGGGGCGCGGGGGGAACGGGGUGCGGGGUGGGCGUGGGGCACCGCUGACCCCCAGACCGCAGCGGGGAGGGGGCGGCGCGAGCGGGGGAAACU